rnacentral:lncRNA from 1 species
AUGUCCCUCCAUACCUGGUUUGAGGGCAACUUCUCAAAUUUGGCUGGACUGAGUAAGGGAAAGAGUGGGGGAGAAGCCGGAUGGGGACACAGAAGCGAGUCCAGGAGCUCACUUGGAAGGUGGGGUCACCUGGGUCGGAGGCCUUGGGUGCGAUGUUUGCCUCAGCUGAGCUUUGCGACAGAGGACUUUCUGAAACAAGCUUUCAUUUUAAAAAGUGGAGAACAAAAAGAGGAGAGAGGGAGGAAAGGAACGAGGAAGAGAGAGGAAGGGAAGAAGGAAGGAAGGAAGACAGGCGGGUGGGGCAGCAGUGAUGAAGGGAAGAAAGGAUGUGUGCGCUGAAGAACCUGGAGAGGAGGCCUUGGCGGGCAGGACUGCUGAAGGCUGAGGUUAGCUCCACUUAGCUCAUAGCGCAGGGUGGCGAACCUGUGGCACGUGAGCCACAGCGGGCGGUUCGUUGUCAUUGAAGGCU